rnacentral:rRNA from 1 species
CCUACGGGUGGCAGCAGUGAGGAAUAUUGGUCAAUGGUCGGGAGACUGAACCAGCCAAGCCGCGUGAGGGAUGAAGGUACAGAGUAUCGUAAACCUCUUUUGUCAGGGAACAAAGACGGGGACGUGUCCCCGGAUGAGUGUACCUGAUGAAAAAGCAUCGGCUAACUCCGUGCCAGCAGCCGCGGUAAUACGGAGGAUGCGAGCGUUAUCCGGAUUUAUUGGGUUUAAAGGGUGCGCAGGCGGUCUGUUAAGUCAGUGGUCAAAGCCCGGGGCUCAACCCGGGCCCGCCGUUGAAACUGGCAGUCUCGAGUUGGAGAGAGGUAUGCGGAAUGCGCGGUGUAGCGGUGAAAUGCAUAGAGAUCACGCAGAACACCGAUUGCGAAGGCAGCUUACCAGGCUGCUACUGACGCUGAGGCACGAGAGCGUGGGUAGCGAACAGGAUUAGAUACCCGAGUAGUC